CGCUGGAAUCGUAGGACUGUUGCUAUUGUUGACAAAGACUGAAAUAAAUAUAUAUUAAUUACUUAGUGAACAUUAUUUUGUGUAAUCUAUUACUAAUUGGCGUCUCGUCGUCCAGAUUGUUUAUGUUUUUUCGCUACGUAACAUCUGGUUUGAAAUACCGUAACGGAGUACGGCAACACUUAAAAUACUUUAACCCGAUUGCACCUGAAUGCAACAUAGACGAGGAGGAGCAGACAGAGAGUAAGGCAGAGCAGAUAGAGAGGGAGUGGACGAGCGGAAGAGAGAAGGAGAGAGAGAGAGAGAUGAGUUUAUGUAGUUACUAUGGUUACAGCUACAGUCCAUCUUUGGAAAGCGCAGAAAAGAAGAGCAGGAGAAAGGUGUGCAAGACGAAGAUUCACUAUUAAAAUAUUUGGGACCACCUGCAGCUGAAUCAUCAGACCAGGAACAGCCAUGCACCUCAGCUGCUCCGGUUUCCUCAGGUGAGUUUAAUGUGUCAGUGAAUGUUUGUGAAGAUAAAAAUAUAUUGACUUACUUAAUGCCAAUAUGUUGUGCCAUGUCUCAUCCAGUCAAUGUAUUUGCUCCUGUGUGUUCUCUCUAUGUUUAUGGACCUAGAGCCACCAGAAGAGACACAACAACAGCAUGCUGCUCUUCCUGCCAACCUCACAUCACAUUUUACAUUAUCUAAUGCACACAAUGUUUUAUUGUUAGUUUAAUUUUUUGUUUUGGUUCUUUAGUGUGCACUUUCUGCUCUCAGAUGUUGCACUACUGUUAAAAAUAUGUUUAAAAGUUAUUUUUUUUGUAUAUUUAUUAUUGAACAGGUUUAUUCUUUUGCACAUAUUGUUAUAUUGUUUGUAUUAUCAUUGUUUAAAUAAAUGUGCAAUUCUUUGGACAUGAGUUAUUUUCUCGUGGGGAUGGGGCGCCAUCAGUAAAGCUCGCCUAGGGCACCAAAUGGUCUAGGACCGCCCCUGAUGAGCAGUGACAACAGCAACAACAGUAACCGUAGCUAUAAUAAUAUUAUAAUAAUAAUAAUAAUAAUAAUAAUAAUAACAAUGAUAUCAGUGAUAUGGCAGUAGCAACUGGUCUGAUCCAGCCCUAACUAUAAGCUUUAUCAAAGAGGAAUGUCUUAAGCCUACUCUUGAAUGUGGUGAGGGUGUCUGCCUCCAGAACCACAACUGGAAGCUGGUUCCACAGGAGAGGAGCUUGGUAACUGAAGGCUCUGGCUCCUGUUCUACUUUUAGAGACUAUAGGAACCACAAGUAGCCCAGCAUUCAGAGAACGUAGUGUUCUAGAGGGGUAAUUGAACAAGUGGACAUUAAGUUCACCUGUAAAGGUUAAAGUGCAUUUUAGGUGCAUUCUGAAAUUUCAGUUCAAGUUAGGGAUAACUUGAACCUGAAUAACAACAUAAUAAUAAACACAAUUCCAGUAUUGAUUAUUGAUCCAUGCAGAAAUAUUCAGAUACACCAGGCUGAAAAUAACUUUUAUACCACCUGGAAACAGACUGUCUGCCAAUGGGAGACUCCUUGGUGUUAAUCAGCUGAUGCCUUUUGACAGGUCAUUACCGUAAAUAUUGGAGAAAAGGACUAGAGAAGUUUGGACUGUAUUUUCUGACUAAUGUUACCUUAAAUAUUGUAUAAAAGGCCCAGAAGUUUUAUGUACUUGUUUGAGGCUUAUCUUUCAACAAAUAGGUGACAACUUAUAACGUUUUCGGCACGUUUUGAUUAAAUUCUCUGCGUUGUAAAAACCAUCAUUUUAUUUUACUUUAUUUUUAAUUUUUUAAUUUUUUUCUAAGGAAAAGGGAAAAGUUUUAGUUUAUUUCUUUUAACUACUGAACUAAGAAAGAACCUUUUUGGCUUCUAUUAUUAUCAUCAUUAUUAAGCUACUCUGCUCUUUUUGUUUGACAUGUUUAGUUGCAGUAACCAUUCAGUUGGGGGUGUUGUUAUGUGAUCUGUUUGACUGCAUUGUUUGUGGACAUCCUUUGUGGUUUACUGGUGAAGCUGCUCCUCAGUUAUGUGGAUCAGCGUUAAGUCCUACAAGAGUUACAGUUGGAGGGAGAUGAAGGAGGAAGGGUUCAGGGGUUCGCAUUGUUGUGGGAGGAUGUUGUUUAAGUCUCCCCAGUUAUGUGUAUAUGUAUGUUUGUUUUAUUUUAUUUAUUUUUACAGCAGCAGCCUUUUAUUCUUUUCUUUUGUAUAGAUAUGUAUGUAUCAUAACAUUUCAGGUAUAAGAGGCUUUUUUGUAGGUCUUGACAUGAUACAUGUUUUUUUUAUAAGAUGUCAUUAUUAUUUAUAUUUCGUAUAAUGUGUUGUUUACUAACUUGAGCAACUGUAACGCAACCAAUUCCCCCCCCCCCCCCCCGGAUCAAUAAAGUAUUUCUGUGAUUGUGAUUUUUAAUAACAGACAGAGGUGCAGUUACAGGUUUCAUCCACCGGAGGGCAGUGUACACAUUGUUCUACAGUAUAAGUAUAAUGCCAUUCAAAAUAAAAGUUUCAAACUACAAACGUAAACACGACUCGAAGCAGCUUUUAAAUCCGUUUUUUGUUUUGCUUUAGUGAAACUUUAAAAUACGAAAACCAGAACUUAAAACAUACAAAAUAACGAGGUAAUUUAAUAUUUUAAGGGAAAAACAUUUAAUUUAAUCAGAUGUAUAUAAUAUUUAUUUCUAUUAAAAAUCUGUACUACAUUAAAGAAAUGACAUAAAGCUUGUAUAGUCCAAUUUGUGGGCUGUUUUCAGAUCAGUUCAUUGCCGAAGCUUAAACCUUAAACCUUAAUCAAAUGUAUUAUUAUUAUUAAUAAUAAUAAUAAUAAUAAUAAUAAUAAUAAUAAUAAUAACAACAAAAUAAAAUGCUCAAAUUACGCAGGGCUGUUGAGACGCAUUGUGGCUUCACGUUACGUCAACACGGACGUUACGCACAAACGGAAGUGACGCUCACGUCGUUAGUUUCUUUUGGUGGGAGUUAUCUUGCCGCGAUAUUUCAUCUUCGAAGAGUCGACAGUGAGGAGUACCGUUGGUCAGCGUCACUAGCUUCAACAACACCGUAAAUAAUCGGUGCGUUUUCACUCCGCACCGCCGGUUUCAACUCUCGGAGCGGCUCCACCCGGUUCUGUUCAUCCCGGAGAAGAAGCGCGACAGUUUAUAGCUGUUUAUCCGCCUCCAGCUGUCGAGCGUUCAACCACCGAGAAGUUAUCCCGGGUUAAAUUAGCUAGCUUCGUGGCACGCAAUAGGUCACGCAGCUUCUUGUUGACAGCCGAGUCUGGUGUCUUUCCUCUCCCGCCGCCUCAUCCAGCGGGUCCGCAGA
rnacentral:lncRNA from 15 species